UGUGUAUGUGGGAAAAGCAUGUGGAAUAUAAGAAUUAUGUGUAGCUGAUAUAAACUCUUCAAGCCAGAAAAGGUUUCAGUGUAUGGAAUGAAAACUGCUAACAAAAUUGAAAAAAAAACACGUUAGAAUAUUAACUGGGAGAGGACUUGGGGAAUAUUGCCAUUGGCUGCCCACAGCCUGGGGGGUGAGGUAUUGCACAGUGAUUGGCUACACAUGUUUUAGAUCCAGACAGCCGAGGUUUUGCAUCAGGUUUUGCCUGAAAAGUCUUUGGGGCUAGGCAGGUUAAUCACUAAGAAUAAUGCUUGUAGCUUAUUCAGGAAAGACAGAGGCUGGACAAAAAUUGUACGUGUGUGGAGUGUUUCUCAAAAGUGAGGUUGCUAUGGGGUUGUAUAACGGGGGAAUGAAUCAGAGUCUGGAAUUAACUUAAACCUGACUAAACUGAACAUUGGAGCAUGAGUGGGAAGUAGCAAAGCCACUGGCUCUCCACCUUCGGUUAGUACAAGAUGGGAAGAAUGGGCUACAGUUGGAUAUAUCCCUCCCCCAGCUCCAGUGACAAAAAUGAAUUGGAUGAAGAUGGAAAACAAAUGAAGGAAAUAGGAGGAUGUUGCUAUUAUGGAG